CAAACAAACCUUCAACUCUGAACAUGACAUCCUUUAGAGCAAAGAGUUGCCACUAUAUUUUUAGUGGCCACAUUCAAGCUUGGAGCAUCCCUGAGAAAUAACUUUUAAAUAUCGGAUCAUUUCUGGAUAACUACGGGAAUGCAGGUGUUGCUCAUGACUUCCAGGCAGCCUUGGAUCUCAAAAAGAGUCGAUGUGACUGUCAAUGAAUAGUCUUGCCUCUGGCCAGGUCAGUCGGACCAUGAACCUGAUAAAAAAAAAGGCUUGAGAGUCAGUAUUGACAUGUGGUCUCCAUCAACAAUGCUGAUGACGUUCCCAGACUUCCUUGACUUUUAAAAGGCCCCAAAAAAAGGUUGGAAGGGGAAAGUAAAAAUGCUCAUCGCUUGUGGAAAGCUGUGGAAUCAGGAAAUGAGGCUUCUUUUAUUUUGGGGUGCUUCUACAGAACCUGACCUCCUGGAAAAAGGCCUAUAUAAAGAUUAGCUGUGGUUGACCUGAAGGAACUAUGGAGUCUUAUUUUCUCCUAGGAAACACCAUGGAAAGUACCUUUUCCUAGAAUGUGUCAAACACAACCUGAACACUGUGAUCCACCCCCCCAACCACGCCUUCCUCACUUUCUUACAUUCCUGCUUCCCCCUCCUGACCAUCACAAUCCUAUCCAUUCAUCUUUCAGAUCUAGACCUCCAUGUGUCAUCUUCUGAAUUCAGUUGCAUAUUCCACUUGGGAGAAGAUCAGGCCUUUAAGACUUAUUCCUAAAGGUAGAUGGUAUGAUAAUGUGCAGGGCAUUGGGCCUGGAGUCAAGAAGACCUCAGUUCAAAUCCAGCCUCAUACCCUUACUAGCUGCAUGACCCUGAAUAAAUCACUUGACCUUCCGUUUGCCUCAACUUCUGCCACUGUGAGAUGGAGAUAAUAACAGUGUCUACCUCGAGGGGCUGUGGUGAGGAUGAAACGAGAUCAUAUUUGUAAAAGGAGCUUAGUAUGGCUCCUGACACAUAAUAGGUGCUAUAUAAAUGCUUAUUCCCUUCCCUUUUUAUUUGUCCAUGGAAUGAUUCUGACCUUGUGUAUAUAAGAAAUAAAUUUUUGUUUGUUUUUUGUUUUUUUGCUGAACAAGGCUGGCCCUAAAGAAGAGCUAUAAAAAGAAAUCAGACCCUUCCCCCUCCUUUGCAGAGGUGAGGAGGUCUUUGAAUGAGGAAAACUCCACAUAUCUUCAGACUUCCCUUUUGGAUGUAUUGAUUGGUUUCACUGAUUUUUCUCCUUUUUCCCUCUUUUUCUUAAACAAAAUCUUUGUUAUGUGGGCUGGCUUUGUAAGAGAGAAAAGGAAGACAGAUACAGGGGAAAAUAUAGGUUUUUGCUUUUAAAAAUAAAAUAUGACGAUAAAAAUUUGUUUUACAGCAGUGUUUUGGCUAAGCCAGAGAAAUGCCAAGUACUGAG